rnacentral:rRNA from 1 species
UGGGGAAUAUUGGACAAUGGGCGCAAGCCUGAUCCAGCCAUGUCGCGUGAAGGAUGAAGUAUUUCGGUAUGUAAACUUCGAAAGAAUAGGAAGAAUAAAUGACGGUACUAUUUAUAAGGUCCGGCUAACUACGUGCCGGCAGCCGCGGUAAUACGUAGGGACCAAGCGUUGUUCGGAUUUACUGGGCGUAAAGGGCGCGUAGGCGGCAAUUCAAGUCAUCUGUGAAAUCUCCGGGCUUAACUCGGAACGGUCAGAUGAUACUGCUUUGCUAGAGUGCAGAAGGGGCAAUCGGAAUUCUUGGUGUAGCGGUGAAAUGCGUAGAUAUCAAGAGGAACACCUGAGGUGAAGACGGGUUGCUGGGCUGACACUGACGCUGAGGCGCGAAAGCCAGGGGAGCAAACGGGAUUAGAUACCCCCGUAGUCCCUGAGCGGGCUGGCAAGGCGCAU